CUGUCCAAUCAGUCGGGCUGUUGGGAGCAGGGGGCGACUUUCAACAAACCCGCGGGGGUCUUCCUGUCUCUCCUGCGCGCGCCGGGCCUUGUUUCUGUCUGCAGACCCAGGUGCCUCCGCCGCAUCUUCUGGCGCUCUGUGUACAGCGCUGGUCGCAGGAGCGGUGGAGGGGACGCCGGGACACCCCGGAAGCUGGGAAAUGAUGUUUCAGGACUCAGUGACCUUUGAGGAUGUGGCUGUGAACUUCACACUGGAGGAGUGGGCUUUGCUGGAUCCUCCCCAGAAGAAUCUCUACAGAGAUGUGAUGUGGGAAACCUUCAGGAACCUGACCUCUCUAGGAAAAAAAUGGGAAGACCAGAACACUGAAGAUCAGUAUGAAAAAUCCCAGGAGAAAUUUAAAGUAAUUUGCACUCA